UAUGGCUGGUGGGGUAGAAAUAGGUAUGGAUUCGAAGCCUCUUGAAGGUUAACAAAGGUCCUCCAUAUCCUACUUCGACUCAUUUUGUCCCUGCUGUACAGAUCGCAGUGAUUGCAUGAUCUACCAGAACGGUGGUAAAAAGCUUGAGCUCGGUACGGCCUUCCUGGUCAUGGAUCUAAUGUCAAAGUG
rnacentral:ribozyme from 1 species